AGAUUGAACGCUGGCGGCAUGCCUAACACAUGCAAGUCGAACGGGAGUAGCAAUACUCUAGUGGCGGACGGGUGAGGAAUACGUAGGAAUUUGCCCUUAAGUGGGGGAUAACCCGGGGAAACCCGGAUUAAUACCGCAUGACCUCGAAAGAGCAAAGUGGGGGAUCGCAAGACCUCACGCUUUUGGAGAAGCCUACGUCGGAUUAGCUAGUUGGUGAGGUAAUGGCUCACCAAGGCGACGAUCCGUAACUGGUCUGAGAGGAUGAUCAGUCACACCGGAACUGAGACACGGUCCGGACUCCUACGGGAGGCAGCAGUGGGGAAUAUUGGACAAUGGGCGCAAGCCUGAUCCAGCAAUGCCGCGUGUGUGAAGAGGCCUUCGGGUUAG
rnacentral:rRNA from 1 species